rnacentral:rRNA from 1 species
CCUACGGGAGGCAGCAGUGAGGAAUAUUGGUCAAUGGCCGAGAGGCUGAACCAGCCAAGUCGCGUGAGGGAAGACGGCCCUACGGGUUGUAAACCUCUUUUGUCGGGGAGCAAAGCGAACCACGUGUGGUUCAUUGAGAGUACCCGAAGAAAAAGCAUCGGCUAACUCCGUGCCAGCAGCCGCGGUAAGACGGAGGAUUCAAGCGUUAUCCGGAUUUAUUGGGUUUAAAGGGUGCGUAGGCGGUCGGAUAAGUUAGAGGGGAAAUCCCGCGGCUCAACUUCGGAAUUGCCUCUGAUACUGUUCGGCUAGAGAGUAGUUGCGGUAGGCGGACUGUAUGGUGUAGCGGUGAAAUGCUUAGAGCUCAUACAGAACACCGAUUGCGAAGGCAGCUUACCAAGCUACUUCUGACGUUGCGGCACGCACGCGUGGGGAGCAAACAGGAUUAGAUACCCCUGUAGUC